rfam:Marssonina brunnea f. sp. &apos;multigermtubi&apos; mitochondrion, complete genome.
UGCGGAUUGAUGUAAUAGUAACAUAACUGGCUCAUGUCCAGGGUAUAUUGGUGCAAAUCCUUUGUCCGCAC